CUUGGAGCCAGCCACGUAUGGACUGAAACCUCCACAAACUAAAGAACUCCGUGUGUUGGGAGCGCAGCUCAGCGGGGCACAGUUCUUGCCUAGCAUGUGCGAAACUUUGGGUCAUUCUCCAGCACUACAAACAAACAAGCAAACAAAAUCGCAAAUAAAUAAAACCACCUUCUGGCCUGGAAGAAAACGGUAAAGAAUUUGAAAGCCCAAGAACUCUGGAGGGGGAAACCUUUCUGCUCUUCCUCAAAGCAGUGACAGGAAGUAAGGGCAUCAGUCCCAGCCUGACAGCCUUUCAGUGACAGUGUCCUGAGGCUCAGGGAACCCGGCCCUCCUGGAUGUACCUACUCCUGCGCUGGACGGGCCCUUUAACCAGUUGUCUCCGGUGAGAGAAAACAGAAACGUGUGCGUGUGUUUUGAGGAAGUGGAGCCAACACAACUGCUUGUGGGUCAAACUGCUUAGUUUCACAGAGCCCUUUUCUUCUAUUCAGAUUCCAUUGGGCUCUGUAUUCCUCCUGUGUCAGGGCCUGGGCCUGGGUUCUCCUGACAAAAAGAGCUACGAGAGCUUCCGCAUCCCAGCGACAAUGCCAACUCCAAGCCUUUGCCUCCGGCUGUCUUGCCCAUUCCCUGUGUCUCGAGACUCUCAGUCACUCCUCUUGCACACCCGUCUGUACUGGGCUGGCCUCAGGCCCCUUCGUUCCUGUCCAGAGCUCUGUUUCAGCUUCCGCUUCAGACUAGGAGAACAGGCAUCUCCCACUUUUUCCUGGAAGUCCCAACAGAGGCUGUGAGAAAGUGCUGCAUGAAGUAACGGAAGAGAAGUUGAGGAGGAAACCACAGCCUGUGUCACCUGCCCCUCACCUUCACAGUGGGACAUUCUAGCCGGGAUGGGCAGGGGUAGGGCAGAGCUGGGGAGAAGGAGAGCGUUGUCAAAAUAAAUGUAAGACAAGCUAAGCCCCAGCGAUACCGA